rnacentral:rRNA from 1 species
AUUGAACGCUGGCGGCAGGCCUAACACAUGCAAGUCGAGCGGAUGAAGGGAGCUUGCUCCUGGAUUCAGCGGCGGACGGGUGAGUAAUGCCUAGGAAUCUGCCUGGUAGUGGGGGGUAACGUCCGGAAACGGGCGCUAAUACCGCAUACGUCCUGAGGGAGAAAGUGGGGGAUCUUCGGACCUCACGCUAUCAGAUGAGCCUAGGUCGGAUUAGCUAGUUGGUGGGGUAAAGGCCUACCAAGGCGACGAUCCGUAACUGGUCUGAGAGGAUGAUCAGUCGCACUGGAACUGAGACACGGUCCAGACUCCUACGGGAGGCAGCAGUGGGGAAUAUUGGACAAUGGGCGAAAGCCUGAUCCAGCCAUGCCGCGUGUGUGAAGAAGGUCUUCGGAUUGUAAAGCACUUUAAGUUGGGAGGAAGGGCAGUAAGUUAAUACCUUGCUGUUUUGACGUUACCAACAGAAUAAGCACCGGCUAACUUCGUG